UACGAAGGGUGCGAGCGUUGUUCGGAAUUAUUGGGCGUAAAGCGCACGUAGGCGGCCUUGUAAGUCUCACUGUGAAAGCCCGGGGCUCAACCCCGGGAGGCCAGGGGAUACUGCAAGGCUGGAGACAAGCAGAGGUUGGUAGAAUUCCGGGUGUAGCGGUGGAAUGCGUAGAGAUCCGGAGGAAGACCGGUGGCGAAGGCGGCCUGCUGGGCAGUUACUGACACUGAGGCGCGACAGCGUGGGGAGCAAACAGG
rnacentral:rRNA from 1 species